UUUCGUUAACAAUGUUUCGUAGAAAGAUUUUUUCUAUUUUUCUGAAUGCUGUAAUUAUUCAGAACAGCGUCUCCCAAGUACUACCCCUCACCGGUGGCUGUGGAUGCCAGCAAAUGCCAGUCCAGCAAGCCCUGGCAUCGCCAUUCCAAGUCUCCAACUGUGGAUGCCGAAACAAUCUACUAAACCUACCGAAUGGCAUCCAGCUCAAUAACAAUUUACCACUUGGCCAACUUGCCAAAAAUCCCUGCACAAACAACUUACAAUUGGCAAUGCAAAACUUAAUGCCAAUCCGCAACGGCCUGGCAAAUGGAUUGCAAUUGGCAAACUCAUUGUCUCAAGAAUUAUUGCCACUUUUGAACACGCCAGCGCCCAAUUGCCAAAACACGCUGCAAAUGAGCUUACAAGCGCUGUUGAAUCAAUUAGGCCAGCAACCGAAUUGCCAAUGCGGUUGCCAAUCUUUGGCAUUGGGUAACAAUCUCAUUAAUAACAACUUAUUAGGCGUAAAUGCCAUGCAGAAAGCUAUUAGUAACUUACCAGGCCAGUCAGUAGCCAAUUUUCAGGUAGUAUCAGGACAGCAAGAAGUCAUUCUAGGUGGCAAUCCUUGCCAAAGUUGCCAGAACAUUAUAAGUAACCCUUGCCAAUCUUGCCAAAAUGUUAUAAACCCCUGUGCGUGCCAAAGUUGCCAGAAUAUAGUAAGUCCGUGCGCUUGUCAAAAUAUUAUAAGCCCUUGUCAAGCCAGUCAAAAUGUAAUAACUAGCCCUUGCCAAGCGAGUCAGAAUGUCAUAACUAGCCCUUGCCAAGCUAGUCAGAAUAUCGUUAGUAAUCCCUGCCCAUGCCAAUCAUGCCAAAAUCCUAUGCAGUUUACUAUUUAUCAAUAAUAACUUAUAUUUUUCUCGUAUGAAAGAUGAUCCGCAGCUGUAUUUAUUAUUAGGCUAAGACUUAAAUUAAAUAAAUUAUUGAUUUAAAUUUU